UACGAAGGGGGCGAGCGUUGUUCGGAUUUACUGGGCGUAAAGGGCGCGCAGGCGGCGCAUUUUGUCAGGCGUGAAAGCCCCGGGCUUAACCUGGGAACUGCGUUUGAUACGGAUGGGCUAGAGUUCGGGAGAGGAGAGUGGAAUUCCAGGUGUAGCGGUGAAAUGCGUAGAUAUCUGGAGGAACACCUGUGGCGAAAGCGGCUCACUGGACCACAACUGACGCUGAGGCGCGAAAGCUAGGGGAGCAAACAGG
rnacentral:rRNA from 1 species